CGAGUUUUGCUUCUGUCAGUACAAACAAGAGGAUAUGUGCCAGGUCCAUCACUUUGUUUGUCCAGCAUGUUCUCCAGACAUGUUGGCUGUCUGCUGUGAUGGAAACCGCAAGCAUUACCGCUUUUCCAAGUCAAAAGGGACUGAGGAGCCGCCAAUCUAUGAGGGCUUGUUCCUGGCCAAGGACGAGGAAGUCGCAACAUUUGUUGACCUUGUCAGAGGCAACAUGAAAAGUGGAAAUGACAGUGCCGUCUGUGGUACUGCCAAAUUCACCGCUGGCAGAGAGAUGUCAAAAAG